rnacentral:rRNA from 1 species
GAUGAACGCUCGCGGCAGGCCUAACACAUGCAAGUCGAGGGGUAGAAGGAGCUUGCUCCUUUGAGACCGGCGCACGGGUGCGUAACGCGUAUGCAAUCUACCUUGUACAGGGGAAUAGCCCAGAGAAAUUUGGAUUAAUGCCCCAUAGUAUAUAACCUUCGCAUGUUGGUUAUAUUAAAGUUCCAACGGUACAAGAUGAGCAUGCGUCCCAUUAGUUAGUUGGUAAGGUAACGGCUUACCAAGACGAUGAUGGGUAGGGGUCCUGAGAGGGAGAUCCCCCACACUGGUACUGAGACACGGACCAGACUCCUACGGGAGGCAGCAGUGAGGAAUAUUGGUCAAUGGUCGCAAGACUGAACCAGCCAUGCCGCGUGCAGGAAGACGGUCCUAUGGAUUGUAAACUGCUUUUAUACAGGAAGAAACCCUCCCACGUGUGGGAGCUUGACGGUACUGUAGGAAUAAGGAGCGGCUAACUCCGUG